CGGAUUGUAGUCUGCAACCCGACUACAUGAAGCUGGAAUCGCUAGUAAUCGCGAAUCAGAAUGUCGCGGUGAAUACGUUCCCGGGUCUUGUACACACCGCCCGUCACACCAUGGGAGUUGGAAAUACCCGAAGCCUGUGAGCUAACAGUAAUGAGGCAGCAGUCGAAGGUAGGGCCAAUGAUUGGGGUGAAGUCGUAACAAGGUACC
rnacentral:rRNA from 1 species